AAACUUUUCUCGAUUUUUCUAUUCAAUUGUUGUUCAAUCCGGCAUCGUCAAUCGAAAACUUUGUUGAUUUUACAAUUCUUCCACUAUUCAAUCCCCUGUCGUCAAUGAAAAGGCUUUUUUAAUUCUUUUGCCACUCAACUCGGUUGCCAUCAACCAGAAUAUUCAUGAUAUUUUUAUCUUCUGUUGCUCAACCGCUCGCCGUCGACGGAAAAGUUUCCUAUAUAUCAAUUCUUCUACCGCUCAACUGGAAAUUGCAUUGAAUAUUCCAUUUGUUUUCACCAUUCUCCCUAAGGAAAUGAACGACGAAGAUGAUUCAAACUACAUGCAAAGUGAUUGUGAUGGUAUUUGGAUACUAAAUGGAAAUGAAUAAUAGAUGGUUAGGUGCUAAUGGACUGUAGUAGUGAUGACCACAUCUCAGUAGGAGCCGACGAGGAUGUAGCCCAGGUUGAUUGUUUUUUAAAGACAUCUAGUCAAAGGAGUAUGCUGGU